rnacentral:lncRNA from 1 species
GAGGGACUCAGCAGGAGAGUAGAUCUAGGAUUCCAGAUGAUCUUCUUCCAUGGUUUUUGAGCACAUACUAUGUGACCCCGAGAGAGUGUGGCUUUCUCGAUUAAAGUUAUUAUUUCUUUUAUGAAAUCCUAGCAAAGAUAGGGACGUCAGAGCUGGCCGAGUCAGACUCCUGGGGGCAUGUUGAUGGCAUCCAGAUGCAAUUCUGCAGAGGAAUCCUGGAAAACAGGAGUAAGUCUAGAGGAAAGGCCACGGGUGUUAGUGGACGAGAGGUCAUAAUGAAAAUAGGGGAAGGGCCUGAGAUAUUUAGCUUGGAGAGAAGAACACAGGUUUGGUUUUUGUUUUAGGGCAUGGGGUGGUGGAAAGUAAAUGACCUUCAGAUUAAAGGGUAGUAGUUAGGAGAGAGUUAAAUUAGAUCUGUUUGGAUGCUCAGCUGUCACACCCAGCAUCAAGGGCUCUGUGGGGCCUCCAGGCUGGGAGGCUUUGACUUUGUAUAAAAUAAUCGUAUUGGUUUGGAGAGGAGUGCAGUGGUUUGGAAGGUCCUCCUUUUGGGGUUUGAGCUGAGCAAUUUAUCCACAGUUUCUCAGCUGGUGAGUGGCGGAGCCAAGAUCUGAACCCAGGCAGGGAGGUUGGUCUCCGCCAGCUGGACAUGUCCUUGCUCUGCCAACUGUACAGCCUCUACGAGUCGAUUCAGGAGUACAAGGGGGCAUGCCAGGCAGCCUCCAGCCCAGACUGCACUUACGCUCUGGAGAACGGCUUCUUCGAUGAAGAGGAGGAAUAUUUCCAGGAGCAGAACUCCCUGCACGACAGGAGGGACCGAGGCCCUCCUCGGGACUUGUCACUGCCUGUCUCCUCCCUCUCCAGCAGCGACUGGAUUCUGGAGUCCAUCUAGAGGGUCUUGGGAGGGAUGUGACUGUUGGGAAGCCCUUCCUACUGGACACGCUGUCAUCAUUUGCUGCUUCUCUUGCAAGAAAGCACCUCCGUUGUGGACGGUCCUCGGGCACAGGGGAUGAGCGCUACCAGUUUCAUUUGUAGGCAGGGAGUUCUCCGCGGAUGCAUGGUGGCAGUCUGCUUUGAUGGCAGCAGUUUCUGCUUAGGUGACCUAGAGGUCCUCAGCAGUAUCCUCCACACCUAUUUAUUGAGGUGCACCUGCUGGGGAUUCAUAAUGAGAAUAUAACAAGAGGAUCUCGGUGAAAGGCCUUAGUGGGUGUUUUGUGUGAGGUGGCUUGUAGCUAGCUACUUCCUUACAGAUGGUAGAGUAUUCCAAUCCUCUUUGUGUUAGGGUUCUUGCUUCCAGUUUGGGAUGUAUUAAAACCACCAUUUCACUGCUUCCCUUCCUCAAUAUGCUCUGCAGCUUUUCUUGCUGUUUAAACCUCUCGCCUCAGCUUUAUUUAUUUGUAAGCUGCAUUACUAACUGCCCAGUGAUUCGGUGAAAGCUUUUUACUGAAAAAGUUAACAUUUCUAGUCAUCCCAAUCAACUGGCUUUUUUCAACCAAAAUUUUAUAUCAUUCUUUGUCUAUCAGAUACGAGAGGAAGGAAGAUAAUACGAAGACAUGUUGAAUAGUGAAAAAAAAAAAAA